rnacentral:rRNA from 1 species
UAGGGAAUCUUCGGCAAUGGACGAAAGUCUGACCGAGCAACGCCGCGUGAGUGAAGAAGGUUUCCGGAUCGUAAACUCUGUUGGUAGAGAAGAACGUUGGUGAGAGUGGAAAGCUCAUCAAGUGACGGUAACUACCCAGAAAGGGACGGCUAACUACGUGCCAG